GUUUGUUAAAGUCUUGAAGAAGUCUGCAUGAUGGAAUAAAGAAGAAUUGGAAAGAAAUCAUACUCUACAUCAAUAUUGGACUGAAUUAAAGAUUAACUGCUACAAUAAAAGGAAAGAAUAGAGAGUCCAUAACAUAAACAAAUGGAUUUCAGUUUCAAGAAUCGAAGCAUUUUCCAAUUGAAUAUUAGAAGAAACAUCGUAUCAGUGAAACACUUUGUCAGUGGAACAGUGAUUCAGAGUAGUGAUGGGGUCCCCUUUAUUGGAUUUGUUCAACUGGAAACUAUGCAGCCAUCAAUCUGAAUUUGCGGUAUUUGUUGUUCUUCAAUUUGACUGAAUUGUAUAUAACUUGAAGAAACAUUCUUCAACUUACUGCCAGAACCCAAAUC